rnacentral:tRNA from 1 species
AUUUAUAUAGUUUAAUAAAAACGUUGUGCUUUCAUCACAAAAAUAGAAGUCUUUCUUUUAAAUU